rnacentral:rRNA from 1 species
GACGAACGCUGGCGGCGUGCUUAACACAUGCAAGUCGAACGGAAAGGCCCUGCUUUUGUGGGGUGCUCGAGUGGCGAACGGGUGAGUAACACGUGAGUAACCUGCCCUUGACUUUGGGAUAACUUCAGGAAACUGGGGCUAAUACCGGAUAGGAGCUCCUGCUGCAUGGUGGGGGUUGGAAAGUUUCGGCGGUUGGGGAUGGACUCGCGGCUUAUCAGCUUGUUGGUGGGGUAGUGGCUUACCAAGGCUUUGACGGGUAGCCGGCCUGAGAGGGUGACCGGCCACAUUGGGACUGAGAUACGGCCCAGACUCCUACGGGAGGCAGCAGUGGAGAAUAUUGCACAAUGGUCGGAAGCCUGAUGCAGCAACGCCGCGUGCGGGAUGACGGCCUUCGGGUUGUAAACCGCUUUCGCCUGUGACGAAGCGUGAGUGACGGUAAUGGGUAAAGAAGCACCGGCUAACUACGUG